CCAGUUUUCACUCCGGGACGUUUUUUUUCAUUUGCGCUUGCCUUCUGUGGAUAAUAACCGUUUCAUCGGGGAAAGACAUAAUCGCCAAAAACGACACGAUAGCAGUUUACCAAUCAAGUACGUACGACACGUGUUAUGCUUCCAAUGUUUUUAACAAUAUGACACUUCAUACUUUGGUCGUUCCGGACUCAACACUAUGCCUAACAUGUAGCGCAACAGUCGGGAACAAAUCACCCUGGCUGCAGAUUGACUUUGGCAGAAAAACGAUGAUGCGAAACUUACGUAUUUUUGGACGUGAUUAUGAUACACCCGGACAGAGUAGCAAUCUUCUUGUGUCAAUCAGCAACACUUCACACUUUCUUAACCAAAACUUCUCUACGUGGGAAGAUUUUGGAUGGAUAAAUGCCUC